GGUCCUAGGCUACACACUGAGGACUCUGUUCCUCCCCUUUCCGCCUAGGG
rnacentral:misc_RNA from 1 species